GCUAGUUAGUCAAUGACUGGUUAUCUCCAUCCAGAAAUGGAACAACUAGUGUGGAAGUUUUUAGGGACAUUUGUAUAGACCAAGGUUAUGACAUCUGCCAGAACCAUCACUGAAGUCCAUGCCGAGGAGAGGGAAAACCAACAUCCAGACGAGGACCUGGCUAUGGGUGUGGGUACACUCCCUACAUAUCUUCAUGACAACCCUGAUAUUCCAGCAGAAACCAUCAGAAAGCUUUUCAGUUCUGUGAGACUUUAACCUGGGGGGACCAGUAAGAUGGUGAAGAAGUUAUUCAUUGGUGACACAACCUAGCACAACCCAAUCUUCUCCAGGAUUAAAACCUACAGCCUUCUAAUAAAAGUCUUGUGUUGGACCUAUGGAGCUUACGGGCAGAGCUGGCUUGGUGGAAACAAUAUCAGAAGGCCACUGAAACCAGAGAUUAUAUUUUUUGGUGAUGAUGUAGUGUGACCAGUUGCAGAGUUUGUGCAUAAGACAGUAACGUAGAGUGAUUCUACAUUUUGUUGGAAUCCUUGUUGCAG